rnacentral:lncRNA from 1 species
UGAUGUAAGCUAUAAAUAUAGCAUAUGUGCUAUUGUUUCGGUGGUGGUGGUGGUAUGGAUUAGCCACACCCAUAUGGCAUGGCCAAUAUGGUCAUGAUUUUGGUUGCACCUAGUGCAUGGGUGCAAGAGGACGUGUGCGGCUUUCGUAGCCGUGGGUCAUUAGUAUACCUUGUGCACGGAUGCACAGGAUGAAAGAGAUGUCUUCUGGGAGUAUAGAAGACGAGAGAAGGGUAGGAGAGAUUCAGAGAGAGGGCUCGGGUUGUAGCUACUCUGUGCAGAAGAGGAGUCAGGUGUAAUCUUCUCUUAUUUAAUGAAUCUUAUUUUACCUGCAUAUUUUUCUCUUUUAUGAUUGUAUCAGCAUCUGCUGAGGAGACGGAUUUAUGGUAAAAAUCCGAUUCGACGCUUCCGUUGCGGAAUCCCAACAAUCGAUACCGGAUCCACAGCAGUCGGUAUCGGAGCGGGUUGCGGAUUCACGAGAUCCGGUACCGGGGCGAGUACCAGAUUCCCAACACUAAUUGUCCAAGUAUACAUAUUGUCAUUCACAUAGUACCAUUCUUAGUUUCAAAAUAGUGAUUCAAUUUAAGGCACAUCUUAUAUUUCUAAGCUUAUAAGUAAUUAAUUAAGGAAAAAAAAAAUAACAAUCCUUGUACUCUUAUUAAGCUUAGCUUUUAGAGUAUAAUAGUUAUUUCAUGAUGGUAUCAGAGCAGGAGAUUCUUAAGUUCGAGCCAUAUCAAGUUCCUAAUAUUAUUAAUUUUUUCCCAUUUAAUUCAAGUCCACGUCAUAGACCUUACAAAAAAAGCCUCAAGCCCAGAUAUGAGAAGAGUGUUAAAUGUAAAAAUAUAUAAACACCAUUCUCUAACAGCUUAAACUUUUAGAGUACAACGAUUAUUUCAUAUAGUAUCAGAGUAGGAGGUCCGGAGUUCGAGUCAUACCAGAUACUCCUAGCAUUAUUAAUUUUCUCUCAUUUAAUUCAAGUCACGUCAUGAGCCUUAUUAAAAAAGUUCCGAAACCAGACAUAAGGAGAAGUAUUGAAUAUAAAAAUAUAUAAACACUGU